CAGCCCACUGCCCUCAGGACUUCUUCAUAGCUGCUCACCCUGUGCAGCAGUCAGUCCCAGUCAGCACCCAGCAUGGACAUGAGGACCCCUGCCCAGCUCCUGGGGCUCCUGCUGCUCUGGCUCCCAGGAGCCUGGUGUGACAUCCAGAUGACCCAGUCUCCUUUGUCACUGUCUGUGUCUCUAGGAGACACAGCCACCAUCACCUGCAGGGCCAGUGGGAACACUGGGUACAAUUUAGCCUGGUACCAGCAACAACCAGGGAAAUCCCCCAAACUCCUGAUCCGUAAUGCAGAUGUAUUGCAAUCUGGAGUUCCAUCGAGGUUCAGUGGCAGUGGAUCUGGGACACAGUUCACUCUCACCAUCAGCAGCCUGCAGCCUGAAGAUCUUGCCACUUAUUACUGUCAACAGUAUCUCAGUUUACCUCCCACACUGAAACAUAUCAUAACAAAAACUCCCAGGGCAGCAGAAGUGAGAGGCUGGGCUGCUGCAGCUGCUCCUUCUGCUGCCUCUGUCUUCUCAGGAUGUUCUCAGCCAUGGCCAGUUUACAUGUGA